rnacentral:rRNA from 1 species
UGGGCCCGCGUAUCAUUAGCUAGUUGGUGAGAUAACAGCCCACUAAGGCAACGAUGAUUAGCCGGUCUGAGAGGGCGAACGGCCACAUUGGAACUGAGAGACGGUCCAAACUCCUACGGGAGGCAGCAGUGGGGAAUAUUGCGCAAUGGAGAAGAACUCUGACGCAGCAAUACCGCGUGAGCGAAGAAGGUCUUCGGAUCGUAAAGCUCUGUUAUCGGGGAAGAAGAAAAUGACGGUACCUGAUGAGCAAGUCCCGGCUAACUACGUGCCAGCAGCCGCGG